AAAAUAGGUAAACAUUGGUUUCCGUGUCGAUCUUUGACUGUCCGUCUUAUAUAAAAAUUUUUUAUAAUUCGUAUUUUCAUUGUUGUGAGAUGAUAAAACAUGAUUAAUAUUUUAUGCGUGACUUGUCUUUUUUAUUUUUUUUUCAUAAUUUUUUUAAAUAAGACGGAAGGUCAAACGUUGGGCAUGGAAACCAGGGUUUCUCUUUUU
rfam:Oryza sativa Japonica Group DNA, chromosome 1, cultivar: Nipponbare, complete sequence.